UCCCUAGCACCACAUCACUCCAGAAAUUGCCAGAGUUUUAGGAGCUCUGUGUCCGGGGGCAGAGACCAAAAAUGUGUAUUUCUUAUUAUGUCACAGAGGGUCAGCAACUGAGGCAGACUUCAGUGUAAGUUGUAAAAGAGCAGAGAAAAGAUCCAGGCCACACAGCAAGGAUCAACAGCCUGGGGGCUGAGGCCAAGAGAGAGACACCAACCAUUUCAGCACUGACCCUAGAAGCACAGAUCAUGUGGUCAUCAUCAGUCAUUAAGGACAAGUAAUGCCUUGAAUAUGUGACCACACGUGGCAGCUGACAUCUGUACAGGCAAAUGGCCACAUGCAAGAAGCAUUCACAACAGGGUAGUCGGGACAAGACCACAGGAGGUAUGUCUCCACUCCUAGACUCGUAUCAUCAUAGGAUAAGCACUUCAAUGCGUUAAAAAGCAAAGAGAAGAAAAUAUCGGAAAUUUCAAUGAGGGAGAAAAAAAUGUUUGGAAUCUUGGAAAUACCACAUGAGCUACCUACAGGUGGUGAGUGACUGCCACGGAAUAUGACUUGCAUACAGAAGGAGCAGCUAGUUAAUACAAAUGAAUCCAAUGAGCAGGAGGUGGUCGCUGGGCACAGGCCAAAAGCCUGAACACCCCUGGCAGGGCCUGCCGCCCCUGCCA
rnacentral:lncRNA from 1 species